CUUUAAUACAUUUUUGUUUUUUAUCCUGCCUAUUUUUGGGCUGUAGGAUGGCAAUCAACCCUGGAAGUCCAGGUGGAGUAGAAUCCAUGGUGUUCUGGUGGGUAGUGCAUGUUGACUGCCCCUUCCAUGGGUGCAGAUCGCUGAGAGCACUCCUUUCUGGACCAGCACUCCUAACUGACUCAGAGCAUUGACUGGAUAACCGAGCUGCGAUACUCUGAGUCACAUUAAAGAACUGGGAACGUAAGGGAGAGCUAAAAGUGAUCUGCAGAUCAUGUCCUUUAUUAUAUAGAGAAAACAGGACCGGUCAGGAAGAUUUUUGAUGGAACCCUCUGAAUACCCCUUGCCCAUGACAUGGGUUGAGCAAACAAGAUUCUAAAUAACUACUUUUUAAUGUUUGAAA